rnacentral:rRNA from 1 species
GACGAACGCUGGCGGCGUGCCUAAUACAUGCAAGUCGAGCGAAGUUUUUCUGGUGCUUGCACUAGAAAAACUUAGCGGCGCACGGGUGAGUAACACGUAAAGAACCUGCCUCAUAGACUGGGACAACUAUUGGAAACGAUAGCUAAUACCGGAUAACAGUAUUUCUCGCAUGACAGCUAUUUAAAAGUUGGUUAUGCUAACACUAUGAGAUGGCUUUGCGGUGCAUUAGCUAGUUGGUGGGGUAAAGGCCCACCAAGGCGACGAUGCAUAGCCGACCUGAGAGGGUGAUCGGCCACACUGGGACUGAGACACGGCCCAGACUCCUACGGGAGGCAGCAGUAGGGAAUCUUCCGCAAUGGGCGAAAGCCUGACGGAGCAACGCCGCGUGAGUGAAGAAGGAUUUCGGUUCGUAAAGCUCUGUUGUUAGGGAAGAAUGGAUAUGUAGUAACUAUACAUGUAAGAGACGGUACCUAACCAGAAAGCCACGGCUAACUACGUG